UACGGAGGGUGCAAGCGUUAUCCGGAUUCACUGGGUUUAAAGGGAGCGCAGGCGGAUUGAUAAGUCAGUGGUGAAAUACCUGAGCUUAACUCGGGAACUGCCAUUGAUACUAUUAGUCUUGAAUAUUGUUAGGUAUGCGGAAUGGGUCAUGUAGCGGUGAAAUGCAUAGAUAUGACCCGGAACACCAAUUGCGAAGGCAGCAUGCUAAACAAAGAUUGACGCUGAGGCUCGAAAGCGUGGGGAUCAAACAGG
rnacentral:rRNA from 1 species